rnacentral:rRNA from 1 species
ACGCUCGACACCUACGGAGGCAGCAGUGGGGAAUAUUGCACAAUGGGGGAAACCCUGAUGCAGCAACGCCGCGUGAAGGAAGACGGUUUUCGGAUUGUAAACUUCUGUUCUUAGUGAAGAUAGUGACGGUAGCUAAGGAGCAAGCCACGGCUAACUACGUGCCAACAGCCGCGGUAAUCUGAGCGGGCUGGCAAGGC